GAACUCUGGUAUUGAUUGGUGCUUGCAUCAUGAUUUACAUUUGAGUGAGUGGCGAACUGGUGAGUAACACGUGGGAAACCUGCCCAGAAGCGGGGGAUAACACCUGGAAACAGAUGCUAAUACCGCAUAACAACUUGGACCGCAUGGUCCRAGUUUGAAAGAUGGCUUCGGCUAUCACUUUUGGAUGGUCCCGCGGCGUAUUAGCUAGAUGGUGRGGUAACGGCUCACCAUGGCAAUGAUACGUAGCCGACCUGAGAGGGUAAUCGGCCACAUUGGGACUGAGACACGGCCCAAACUCCUACGGGAGGCAGCAGUAGGGAAUCUUCCACAAUGGACRAAAGUCUGAUGGAGCAACGCCGCGUGAGUGAAGAAGGGUUUCGGCUCGUAAAACUCUGUUGUUAAAGAAGAACAUAUCUGAGAGUAACUGUUCAGGUAUUGACGGUAUUUAACCAGAAAGCCACGGCUAACUACGUGCCAGCAGCCGCGGUAAUACGUAGGUGGCAAGCGUUGUCCGGAUUUAUUGGGCGUAAAGCGAGCGCAGGCGGUUUUUUAAGUCUGAUGUGAAAGCCUUCGGCUCA
rnacentral:rRNA from 1 species